UUUAACUUACUUUAAUUUUGGUAUAUGUCAAGCAUAUGCCAAUGAUGUUGCAUAUUAGAUUAAUUAGUAAAGAGAUAUGUCCUUUCAAAGAAUAAAUUAUAAUUAAAAUUGACAUGCUAGUCUUCUAUAUACUGUUAAGAUGUCUACAUACAGAGAAACUUCAUACCACACAUAGUCCAACGAUUGAUCUCUGAUUUGAAAAUAUAGAACGUGUAUUUAUUCUUAUUUGAAAAACGUGGCAACUAGAUCAGAGUUGGAAGCUAAGAUAAUAUAUAUUAGUACAAACAACUCACAAAGGAUAAGAGGACAAAAUGACUUAUUAUUAAAAAAAACUGAAUUAGGUAAAGACUGUAUUUAUUUAAGAUUUUGUCAAUAAAGUGGUUGUAAUAAUUCAACAUGUGGAAACAGGUGCUGUGGUUGAGGUGACAUGCAAGGCAGGAGACAAAGAUGUGGUGGCUUAUGGUAAGACAAAGAUCAAUGGUAAAUACAGCAUCACGGUUAAAGGAUUUGAGUACGGAAAGUAUGGUGGAGCCAAGGCAUGCAAAGCUAAGCUCCAUAUGGCGCCCAAGGAUUCUAAAUGUAAUAUUGCAACAAAUCUUCAUUGGGGCAUUAAGGGUGCUAAACUCAAAGUGAAAUCUAAGAGCAAAUAUGAAGUUGUUUUGUCUGCUAAGCCAUUUGCAUAUGCUCCCAAGACUCCUUACAAGAAGUGUUACAAGCCUGCACCAACACCAGCUCCGGUGACUCCGGUGACACCGCCUUAUUAUUAUAAGUCUCCACCACCGCCACCCAAGUCUCCCGCACCAACUCCUUAUUAUUACAAAUCUCCACCACCGCCAUCUAAAUCUCCGGCACCAACUCCUUACUACUACAAGUCUCCACCACCACCGCCUAAAUCUCCCACGCCAACACCUUACUACUACAAGUCUCCUCCCCCACCAACAAAAUCUCCGGUUCCAGCUCCUUAUUACUACAAAUCUCCCCCACCACCAACUAAGUCUCCCACUCCGGCUCCUUAUUACUACAAGUCCCCACCACCACCUUCACCAUCACCACCACCUCCAUACUACUACAAAUCACCACCACCACCUGUCAAGUCUCCCACUCCCGCUCCUUAUUACUACAAGUCCCCACCACCGCCGUCACCAUCUCCACCACCUCCAUACUACUACAAAUCACCACCACCACCCGUGAAAUCUCCAACUCCAACUCCUUACUACUACAAGUCUCCACCCCCACCGUCACCAUCUCCUCCCCCACCAUACUACUACAAAUCACCACCACCACCCGUGCAUUCACCUCCACCACCUUACUACUACAAAUCACCACCCCCGCCAGUGCACUCACCUCCACCACCCUACUACUACAAAUCACCACCACCUCCUUCGCCAUCUCCUCCACCACCAUAUUACUACAAGUCCCCACCUCCACCAAGUCCAUCCCCUCCACCUCCAUACCAUUACUCAUCACCUCCACCACCUGUGAAAUCCCCACCACCUCCAUAUCAUUAUUCCUCACCCCCACCACCUGUCAAAUCCCCGCCACCUCCAUAUCAUUAUUCGUCACCCCCACCACCAGUGAAAUCCCCGCCACCUCCAUAUCAUUAUUCGUCACCCCCACCACCAGUGAAAUCCCCGCCACCUCCAUAUCAUUAUUCGUCACCCCCACCACCAGUGAAAUCCCCGCCACCACCAUAUCAUUAUUCAUCACCACCACCCCCCGUCAAAUCCCCACCACCUCCUUACCAUUACUCUUCACCACCACCACCAGUAAAAUCUCCACCACCUCCAUAUCAUUAUUCAUCACCUCCACCACCAGUGAAAUCCCCACCACCUCCAUACCACUAUACGUCACCACCACCUCCAGUAAAAUCACCACCACCCCCAUAUCAUUAUUCAUCACCUCCACCACCCGUGAAGUCCCCACCACCACCAUACCACUAUUCUUCACCACCACCACCAGUAAAAUCCCCACCUCCUCCAUACCAUUACUCAUCACCUCCCCCACCUGUGAAAUCACCACCCCCUCCAUACCACUACUCUUCACCACCACCACCAGUCAAAUCCCCACCUCCUCCAUACCACUACUCUUCACCUCCACCACCGGUGAAAUCUCCACCUCCCCCAUACCACUACUCAUCUCCACCACCGCCAGUGAAAUCACCUCCACCACCGUACCACUACUCAUCUCCACCACCUCCCGUGAAAUCCCCACCUCCACCGUACCACUACUCAUCACCUCCACCACCCGUAAAAUCACCACCUCCUCCAUACCACUACUCAUCACCACCACCGCCAGUGAAGUCACCUCCUCCCCCAUACCACUACUCAUCACCACCACCACCAGAAAAAUCACCACCCCCACCAUACCACUACUCAUCUCCCCCACCCCCAGAGAAAUCUCCGCCCCCACCUUACCAUUACUCAUCCCCUCCACCACCCGUAAAAUCCCCACCUCCCCCAUACCACUACUCAUCCCCACCACCACCCGUGAAGUCUCCACCUCCCCCGUAUCACUAUUCCUCACCCCCACCGCCAGUGAAAUCACCUCCUCCCCCAUACGUCUAUUCAUCACCACCCCCACCUGUUGCAUCACCACCCCCACCAGUUUACAUUUAUGCUUCACCACCACCACCCACUCACUAUUAAGGUCCGACCGCUCAGCUAGUUCCAUCCAACAUUCAAGUAAGUUAACUCUUUUACUACAUGAACUACUAUUAGCUUGUUAUUCUCAUAAUAUUUCAAAUCUCACUAACAUGUUCAUAUUCAUAUACUAAUCCCUUCUUCUGUUAAUUUACAGCUGCCAGCUUAAAACAGCAUAGAAUACAACAAAAUAAAAUCCCAGAACCAGAUCAUCAAGUUAAUAAGGUCGUCAACCGUGCAUUACAAAGCUUUAACCUUUUUGACACGGACCAAUUUGCAUUUACAUCAUUAGUGACACUCUUACAUUUGGGAGUUGUUUCAACUACAAAGGGUAUUUUCUAUAGAGGUUUUCCUUAUCUGGUUAAGUGAAAUUAGUAAGUGAGAUGCCUGGCAGAAGUUUGUAUGGUGUGGAACAAGGCUUUCCUGUGUAUUCUUUGUUCAUUUCAAGAGUGUUUAUUUCAUGUAAUUUAUCUGUAACAAUAUUAAUCUUUCAUUUACUUCAAAUUUAGUAAUUGCUGUGCUUUCUUUAUUGGGUUAAUUAUCUAGUUGGUCACUGAAAUGGGUUUAAUGUAUCAAGUUGGUCA
rnacentral:lncRNA from 1 species